GAUGAACUUAAGGAUGUUUCAUUAAUCCUUGUAUGUGCCCAUCGAAAUUGAUAAAGAAGCAUGCCAGCAUUUUUUAUCCUUGCAUGUUCCUAUGUCCCUAGAAACACACUAUCCAUUCCUUCUGAUUUGAAAAUGUGCAAUAUAAAUUGAUCCUUUUUCUAUUUUAAUCGUUCGUUCUAAGACACCAGGUCCCAUGUACUGAAUAGAGAACAUUCAAACUAGUCCCCCCAA
rnacentral:lncRNA from 1 species